UUUUGGUUCCAUUGUUUCUACAUCUAGGGAUUUUGCCUAGGGUGCAUCUUUCGUUUCCCCUGAUCACUAGUUGUUCUAGAAAGAUCAGUUAUUUCGACUUCCAAGUUGCAACUAUUGACACAUUGCAAAUGCAGGUUUCUAUCACCACUGCUAACUUUUAUGAUGAUAUUCUCCUCUUCCAUGUCUGUCAUACAGCAAUACUUACUAGGACACUUUCCAGUACCAUAGGUGGUGUAAAGCAUAGCAGACGCGAUUAAGAGGAUCAAGGAGGGGCAGUGUAUGGGGUUUGAUAAAAUCUGUGCAUAUAAGCCUUAUGUUUUGUGUAAGUAGUGUUUUUCUGGAGUGAUUUUGAUUUUAUUUCCAAAAAGAAGUUGGUAUGUGAUGGAUUUGGUUCCUGUAAUUUGUAAUGCAUGGCAAUAAGUUACAAAUUCGUGUUCGUUUUUCGCCAUGGUGUGGUCUGAGGAGAGGUAGAAAUAGACAAAAACACCUCAUGCAGCUUAAUAAGGACACAACUGUAGCUGUCAAUCAACUCGGAAUGAUAAACAACGCGAAAGAUAGACACCACCGCCAGACCAUUUCAUCUCAGAAUUUAAGACAUGCACAAAAUUUGUCAAACAUAGAACAGGGAGGUUGGAAUUCACAUCGAUUAUAGUGAGUUCAUCAACACAUCACACAAAAAUUAACGCCAAUAUAGAAUUAUUGAUAGUCAAAGGCACCACAAUACAGGUCAGUAUAUAUUGGAAAGGAGCAAGUGCCCCGGUCCUAAUUCAUUCAGUCAACAGAGAAACAUCCCAAAAGUUAACAAAAA